GACGAACGCUGGCGGCGUGCUUAACACAUGCAAGUCGAACGGAAAGGCCCCUUUGGGGGUACUCGAGUGGCGCACGGGUGAGUAACACGUGCGUAACCUGCCCUUGACUUCGGGAUAACUUCAGGAAACUGGGGCUAAUACCGGAUAGGAAUCCUUGCUGCAUGGUGGGGGUUGGAAAGCUUCGGCGGUUUUGGAUGGACUCGCGGCUUAUCAGCUUGUUGGUGGGGUAGUGGCUUACCAAGGCUUUGACGGGUAGCCGGCCUGAGAGGGCGACCGGCCACAUUGGGACUGGGAUACGGCCCAGACUCCUACGGGAGGCAGCAGUGGGGAAUAUUGCACAAUGGGCGGAAGCCUGAUGCAGCAACGCCGCGUGCGGGAGGACGGCCUUCGGGUUGUAAACCGCUUUCAGCAGGGGCGAAGCUUGUGGUGACGGUACCUGCAGAAGAAGCACCGGCUAACUACGUG
rnacentral:rRNA from 1 species